ensembl:snRNA U6 U6 spliceosomal RNA
GUGCUCACUUUGGCAGCUCAUAAACUGAAAUUGGAACAAUGAAGAGAAGGUCACCAUGGCCUCUAUUCAAGGAUGACUGCAGAUCUGUGAAGCAUUCCAUAUUUUU